CAACUGAUGAAAGUGACGAAUUUCUCAUUUCAACUCUUUGUCCUCUUCUCAUAGUUUGGUCCGUUACGUUUGUAGUUUUACGCAUAAAGCAGCAGAUAUCCACAUAAUGUUAAUAAGGAUGACUUGAUCUAGUUUUUUUGCUAGAAUUAUAGAAUUUUUGACUGAGAAACGGGACUAUUUUGUUUGCAUCGAUUUUUUCAUACUUUAAAUACCUCUAGAGAUCUAGAGACAGAAACAUCUGCAUAUCCAUUUCUGCAGUUUUCAAAUGUAUUGUAUAUGAGAGACAAAUCGCUACUUUAAAAAAAUAAUUAAUUAAUGAAAAACCAAUGAAUCUUUGAUUCCAGACCAAAAAAGAGAAAUCGCUUUGAAACAAUAUUAAACGAGCGAAAACAUAUAACAACUACGAGAAAACGAGAUGAAAAGUUAGCAAUAUCCAAGAUCAAGCUAAACGAGUUACACCAAUGUCUCAAAAUAUAGUAGAGGUUAUGGCAAAACUUUUAUUUUGACAGAAACUAAAAAAUUUGCAAGAGCCCAAAAACUGACUACACAAUCCAAAUUACAAAAAAAUUAAACUAAAUUAAAACCAAGUCGAAAAGUGGUGAAGAAUCACAUUAACAAACCGUCGUCUUUUGACGUAUUCCAGCCUUGAUAUAUGAAAGAUAGCAUCCUGUGUAGGAAAAGCCGCCACUGUUGAGAUGCAAUUAUGCUUUGAUAUUGGCUGGCAAAUCACUUAUCGUAAGCCCUUAAGCGAGUUCGGAUUUAUUUUAUUUUUAUAUCAACUAGUUUAUUAAAACUAACAUCCGAGCAUAAUGAACUGGGCAUAGAGAAUGAAGCUGAGUUUUUUAGUGUUUAUGGACUGAAAUAAGAAGCGAAAAGGAGCAGACUGGCAUAUGCAGCAGGUGACGGACACUCGGUAGUCUGUAAUCAACUGUAGCGGCAGGAAUCGACCGCAGAAAGCGGGAAAAAGAAAAGCAAAAGGCCGACUUGGACAGGAUUGAGCUUUCAACAGGGUGGGUCGAUGGCCACGCUUUAUUAAUUUCACUUGAAGAAGCAGCCUUUGCAUAUUCAAAAGCAUCCGUUCCACCAGCAAAUAUUACAACUUCUUCACUGGCGGAAACAGGAGAACUCGAUACAUAAUUUUUUGCCCUCUCUAAUUCAGAGAUGAUUUCAUGUAAUGAAAGGAAAAAGGAAAGGAUUUGUACUUUAUAA